rnacentral:rRNA from 1 species
GGGAUUGCCUCAGUAACGGCGAGUGAAGCGGCAAUAGCUCAAAUUUGAAAUCUGCUCUUUUUGAGCCGAAUUGUAAUUUGUAGAGGAUGCUUCGGCUUACGUCUCGGUCUAAGUUCCUUGGAACAGGACGUCACAGAGGGUGAGAAUCCCGUUUGUGGCCGCGACUUCCGCCAUGUGAAGCUCCUUCGACGAGUCGAGUUGUUUGGGAAUGCAGCUCUAAAUGGGAGGUAUAUUUCUUCUAAAGCUAAAUACCGGCCAGAGACCGAUAGCGCACAAGUAGAGUGAUCGAAAGAUGAAAAGCACUUUGGAAAGAGAGUUAAAAAGUACGUGAAAUUGUUGAAAGGGAAGCGCUUGCGACCAGACUUGCCCGCGGAUGCUCAACCGGUCCUUCGGCCGGUGCACUCUUCCGCGGUCAGGCCAGCAUCAGUUCGAGUAGCCAGAUAAAGGCUUAGGGAAUGUGGCUCUCUUCGGGGAGUGUUAUAGCCCUUUGUGCAAUAUGGCUCACUUGGACUGAGGCCCGCGCUUCGGCUAGGAUGCUGGCGUAAUGGUCGUAAGCGGCCCGUCUUGAAACACGGACCAAGGAGUCUAACAUCUAUGCGAGUGUUUGGGUGUCAAACCCGUGCGCGAAAUGAAAGUGAACGGAGGUGGGAACCUUUUGGGUGCACCAUCGACCGAUCCUGAUGUCUUCGGAUGGAUUUGAGUAAGAGCAUAGCUGUUGGGACCCGAAAGAUGGUGAACUAUGCCUGAAUAGGGUGAAGCCAGAGGAAACUCUGGUGGAGGCUCGCAGCGGUUCUGACGUGCAAAUCGAUCGUCAAAUUUGGGUAUAGGGG